rnacentral:tRNA from 1 species
GCCGGGGUAGCCUAGCCUGGCUUGGGCGCCAGACUCAUAAUCUGGAGGUCGCGGGCUCGAAUCCCGCCCCCGGCACCA